AACAGACCAUCUGCCCACCUCUUGUCUCUGCCCCCACAGGGAGCUGCCCAGGAAAUUUUUGGAGGGAAGCAGGAAACCUUGGUCUCUAGACAAUGUAGUGCAGCAGCUGAAUCAUCAGAAUUUUCACUGAUCUCUUCACAACUAGGGAAUCAUGAUAUGAAUCAGUUAAUGGAUAAGGAAGGAAGACUGAUCGGACUUGGAAGAUGGCUGAUUGAUUGACAUGUUGAUGAUCUUAUUUUCUGUUGAAGGUCUACCUUUCCUCCACCAUGAUCUUUAAAAAGACAAAGAAAGCUAUUUUUUCUCAAAGCUUGGCAGCUUGUAUAAAUAAUUUACC